rnacentral:rRNA from 1 species
CCGCCUGGGGAGUACGGGUGAGGUAACGGCUCACCAAGGCAUCGACGGGUAGCUGGUCUGAGAGGAUGAUCAGCCACACUGGGACUGAGACACGGCCCAGACUCCUACGGGAGGCAGCAGUAGGGAAUAUUGCACAAUGGGCGAAAGCCUGAUGCAGCAACGCCGCGUGCGGGAAGAAGGCCCUAGGGUUGUAAACCGCUUUCAGCAGGGAAGAAAAUGACGGUACCUGCAGAAGAAGGUGCGGCCAACUACGUGCCAGCAGCCGCGGUGACACGUAGGCACCAAGCGUUGUCCGGAUUUAUUGGGCGUAAAGAGCUCGUAGGCGGUUCAGUUAGUCGGGUGUGAAAACUCUGGGCUCAACCCAGAGACGCCACUCGAUACUGCUGUGACUAGAGUGCGGUAGGGGAGCGGGGAAUUCCUAGUGUAGCGGUGAAAUGCGCAGAUAUUAGGAGGAACACCAGUGGCGAAGGCGCCGCUCUGGGCCGUAACUGACGCUGAGGAGCGAAAGCGUGGGUAGCAAACAGGAUUAGAUACCCUGGUAGUCCACGCCGUAAACGUUGGGCACUAGGUGUGGGUCUCAACCAACGAGAUCCGCGCCGUCGCUAACGCAUUAAGUGCCCCGCCUGGGGAGUACGG